AGAUGAAAUCAAGAGUCGGAUGCUCAACUGACUGAGCCACCCAGGCGCCCCUGUGCUGUAAUUUUUAAUUAGUUUUCAUCUCAGCUAAACUCCAGGGUGUCCUUGCCUGCCCUGAUGGCCCACUGAGAGGUUGCUGAGGGGAUUCUUGGAGCAUCGAAUUCCAAAGAGCUUGAGUCAGAAGAAGCUUUGCAGCCCAGGGCUGACUUUGAAGGAAGAGGGAGCAGGGGCGGCUGAUGUUACAGGUCUAAAUGUUGGACGAAGCUAUUCAUGGACAGUAACCACUUCAAUUCAAUUUUGAUACUCUCUACCUGGAGUUAGAGAGGCAGUAAGGAGGCUGGAUCCCACAAGAUGCUCCCACAUCAGAUGCCAACUCCAAGUCCGGGUUCCCAACGGUGCCUGACCAACUGGCUUUAAAUUGGUGGUUUCCACAACCCCCUGUUCAGGUCAUUUCCUGGCUGUAGGUCAGGGUGGGAACUGGACUCCUGCAUUCUGUGUUCCUUGCUGGAGACCAUGCUUGCUGGAAUCAAGUACCUGGGAGGAUGACAUCACAAACGACCUGAAGCACUGUGCUGGUUAAUUUUAUGUAUCAACUUGGCUAGACCAUGGUGCCCAGUUGUUUGGUAGGUGCCCACUUGACCCACCAUGGUACUAGACCAUGGUGCCCAGACACAGCCUGUUGCUGUGAAGGUAUUUGGUAUGUGAUUAACAUUUGCAAUCAACUGACUUGAAGUGAAAGAGAUUACCCUCCAUCCAUAAUAUGGAUGGGCCUCACCCAAUCAGUUGAAGGCCUUAAGAGCCAAGAUUGAAGCUUCCUGGAUAGGAAGGAAUUCUGUCUUAAGAUUGUAACAUGGAAGAACUGCUUGAGUUUCCAGACUGCUGACCUGCUGUAUGGAUUUUGGUCUUGCUAGCCCCUACAGUUGUGUGAGCCAAUUCCUUAAAAAUCUCUUUCUCUCUCUACAUGUACACACACGUAUGUAUGUAGGGGUGUUUGUGUGUGUGUGUGUGUGUGUGUGUGUGUCUUUAAUCUCAGGACCCUUGCCUCAGCCCUGGAUUUUGGUAAGAGCAUUGGGAAUAAGAGCCAUGAUGACAAAGAAGUCAGGUCUUCUCCACCAGUUCAAGUCUGUCUACACCAGGGGAAGACUCAUGUAGUCCCCAGGGGUUAAGAGGUUAAUAUGGAGCUUUUAUACAUCAGUUUAGUACAUGACAGUGGUGAACAACGAUGAAUUUGGGUGCUUCAUAUCCAUUUACCCUGUUAUUAAUAAUAGUUCUGAAUUUGCAGUUACAAAUACACUCGAAUUUUGUAACUUCGUAUGGUGACAGAUGGUGACUAAGUCUAGUGGUGUUCAUUUCACAGUGUAUGCAAAUAUCAAGUCAUUAUUGUUGUACACUUGAAACUAAUAUAAUGUCAUAUGUCAAUUAUACUUCAGUUAAAAAAAAAAGAAAUAGACUCCAUCUCUACUCAAUGUUCCUGUGAUUCCAGUGAGGCUGACCCAUCUGCUAACAACAAGGAUGGCAUUAGACCUAGGUUUAAACCAGCCUGUGUCCUGGCCAGUGUGAUUGGGUCAGGGAGGGGCACCUGACCUAAUUCUGGCUAGUGAAAGUUAGGUCCAGCCUUUUUGUUUGAACUGGAUAGAAUAGAAAUAGACAGUCUCUAUUUUCUGCUGUUCUCAUACCUGGGAGGAGUGUAUUGAGCUGCAGCAGCUGUAUUGUCACCAUGAGCGGGGAGGCCAGCCUCAGAAGGAAGAUGCAGAACUGAAAGAUGGAGAGAGAGAAACCAGGUCCCUGUGACAUCAUUUGACUAUCUCCAUCAGCCACACCUGAAGUAAAACCUACUUCCUGGAUCUCUCAUUUACAUAAGUAAAUGUAUCCUUUUUUUUUUUUUUUUUGCUUAAGACAGGUUGGAUAUGUUUUUUUUUUUUAAUCAAAAAAACCAAAGAAUGUUCAUGAUACCAUUAUGUGCGCUACUGAUUUUUUUUCUAAGAACAAGCCAGAUCAAAUAACCUGGCAUCUGAGUAGCAGGAAACAAAAUAAGGGACUGCUUGGCAUGAGAUAACAUUUGGAUAAAAACAGUGACUCAAAGAACAGGUUCUUUUUAGCUACACAUGCCUGAGAUGAAGGUCUUGGGCUACAUUGAUGCAAAAGUGGGAGCUUUUUCCUGCAAAAUUGCCUUCCUAGAGAAUAGGAUCUCUCUACAAUUGUAGAAAAAUUCUUAGCUAUGGCUUGGGGGUGCUUGGCAACCUUAAAUAGCAUUCAUGGGGUCAAUGGUUUUUUGUAUUUUU